rnacentral:rRNA from 1 species
UUGUCUCAAAGAUUAAGCCAUGCAUGUCUCAGUACAAGCCGAAUUAAGGUGAAACCGCGAAAGGCUCAUUAAAUCAGUUAUGGUUCCUUAGAUCGUACCCACAAUUACUUGGAUAACUGUGGUAAUUCUAGAGCUAAUACAUGCAAACAGAGCUCCGACCGGAGACGGAAGGAGUGCUUUUAUUAGAUCAAAACCAAUCGGCGGGCGGUCCGCGCGAGCGGUCCGCCGCCCGUCGCUAACGCUGGUGAAUCUGAAUAACUUUUGCUGAUCGCACGGUCUCGCACCGGCGACGCAUCUUUCAAAUGUCUGCCUUAUCAACUGUCGAUGGUAGGUUCUGCGCCUACCAUGGUUGUAACGGGUAACGGGGAAUUAGGGUUCGAUUCCGGAGAGGGAGCCUGAGAAACGGCUACCACAUCCAAGGAAGGCAGCAGGCGCGCAAAUUACCCACUCCCGGCACGGGGAGGUAGUGACGAAAAAUAACGGUACGGGACUCAUCCGAGGCCCCGUAAUCGGAAUGAGUACACUUUAAAUCCUUUAACGAGUACCAACUGGAGGGCAAGUCUGGUGCCAGCAGCCGCGGUAAUUCCAGCUCCAGUAGCGUAU